rnacentral:rRNA from 1 species
GUGGGGUGAUGGCCCACCAAGGCGACGACGGGUAGCCGGCCUGAGAGGGCGACCGGCCACACUGGGACUGAGACACGGCCCAGACUCCUACGGGAGGCAGCAGUGGGGAAUAUUGCGCAAUGGGCGAAAGCCUGACGCAGCGACGCCGCGUGAGGGAUGAAGGCCUUCGGGUUGUAAACCUCUUUCAGCAGGGACGAAGCGCAAGUGACGGUACCUGCAGAAGAAGCACCGGCCAACUACGUGCCAGCAGCCGCGGUAAUACGUAGGGUGCAAGCGUUGUCCGGAAUUAUUGGGCGUAAAGAGCUCGUAGGCGGUCUGUCGCGUCGGCUGUGAAAACCUGAGGCUCAACCUCGGGCCUGCAGUCGAUACGGGCAGACUAGAGUUCGGUAGGGGAGACUGGAAUUCCUGGUGUAGCGGUGGAAUGCGCAGAUAUCAGGAGGAACACCGGUGGCGAAGGCGGGUCUCUGGGCCGAAACUGACGCUGAGGAGCGAAAGCGUGGGGAGCGAACAGGAUUAGAUACCCUGGUAGUCCACGCCGUAAACGUUGGGCGCUAGGUGUGGGUUCCAUUCCACGGGGUCCGUGCCGAAGCUAACGCAUUAAGC